UACGGAGGGGGCAAGCGUUGUUCGGAAUCAUUGGGCGUAAAGGGCGCGUAGGUGGUUCUGUAUGUCUACCGUGAAAGCGUACGGCUCAACUGUAUUUUGUCGGUAGAAACUGCAGGACUUGAGGCUGGGAGGGGCUGGUGGAAUUCCCUGUGUAGCGGUGAAAUGCGUAGAGAUGGGGGAGAACACUCGUGGCGAAGGCGGCCAGCUAGACCAGUUCUGACACUGAGGCGCGACAGCGUGGGGAGCAAACAGG
rnacentral:rRNA from 1 species